UCUGAAAGAAAGAAAAGGGCUGGAAUUGUGAGAAGUGAUUUUGGUUUGAACUUUAAGAUGUGCCUGAACCACAGAAAAGACAAAGCUUGUGUUUCCUUUAGAAACCACAGAAAAGACAAAGCUUGUGUUUCCUUUAGAACAUUUUAACAUUUUAUAUAUUUAAAAGUAGAAUAGUGUCUAACAAUUCAAGCUGCAAUUGAUUGAUGAACACAGACAGGGAAGAAUGAGACCUUGGCUGAUAAGACUGAGGAUAACGAAACGACUCGAGAAGACAUCAGUUACAAAUUAAUGCAGAAAACAUCUGCUGAUAAGACCCUAGACAGACAAAGAAGAAUAGGUCUUUGACUAAUGAGACUACGGGGUGAGAAAAACAACAACUCUAGAGACUCUGAAGACAUUUGUUGCGGACUUUGAGAUA